UACGAAGGGGGCUAGCGUUGCUCGGAAUCACUGGGCGUAAAGCGCACGUAGGCGGCUUUCUAAGUCAGGGGUGAAAUCCUGGAGCUCAACUCCAGAACUGCCUUUGAUACUGGAGAGCUUGAGUCCGGGAGAGGUGAGUGGAACUCCGAGUGUAGAGGUGAAAUUCGUAGAUAUUCGGAAGAACACCAGUGGCGAAGGCGGCUCACUGGCCCGGUACUGACGCUCAAACACGAAAGCCAGGGUAGCGAACGGG
rnacentral:rRNA from 1 species